UACGAAGGGGGCUAGCGUUGUUCGGAAUCACUGGGCGUAAAGCGCACGUAGGCGGCUUUUUAAGUCAGGGGUGAAAUCCUGGAGCUCAACUCCAGAACUGCCUUUGAUACUGAGAAGCUUGAGUCCGGGAGAGGUGAGUGGAACUGCGAGUGUAGAGGUGAAAUUCGUAGAUAUUCGCAAGAACACCAGUGGCGAAGGCGGCUCACUGGACCGGAAUUGACGCUGAGGUGCGAAAGCGUGGGGAGCAAACAGG
rnacentral:rRNA from 1 species